GAUGAACGCUGGCGGCGUGCCUAAUACAUGCAAGUCGAGCGAACGGACGAGAAGCUUGCUUUUCUGAUGUUAGCGGCGGACGGGUGAGUAACACGUGGAUAACCUACCUAUAAGACUGGGAUAACUUCGGGAAACCGGAGCUAAUACCGGAUAAUAUUUUGAACCGCAUGGUUCAAAAGUGAAAGACGGUCUUGCUGUCACUUAUAGAUGGAUCCUCGCUGCAUUAGCUAGUUGGUAAGGUAACGGCUUACCAAGGCAACGAUGCAUAGCCGACCUGAGAGGGUGAUCGGCCACACUGGAACUGAGACACGGUCCAGACUCCUACGGGAGGCAGCAGUAGGGAAUCUUCCGCAAUGGGCGAAAGCCUGACGGAGCAACGCCGCGUGAGUGAUGAAGGUCUUCGGAUCGUAAAACUCUGUUAUUAGGGAAGAACAUAUGUGUAAGUAACUGUGCACAUCUUGACGGUACCUAAUCAGAAAGCCACGGCUAACUACGUG
rnacentral:rRNA from 1 species